CCCUGGGGGCCCGCGGGGGUUGAUGCUGGCGGAGGGAGCGGGGCGAGGCCGGGUCGGGGGCGUCGGUGCGGCCGGGAUGGGGUGGGGUGGCGCGUGGGGAGCGGGCGGCUGCACUGGAGUGGUUGAGGGCCCCGUCCAGGCACUUACGGAGUUCUCCAAGGAUGGGAGCUCCCUCAUCUCCUCUGCUUGGCACUGCCCAGCUGCCGGCACCCUGCUGCCCUGCUAUCCUCCAGGGCUGAACCACCAGCGAUAAGCAGAGUUGUGAGUGCCAAGGAUAAGGCAGAGCUGUGAGCUGCCAGGGAAAUAGUUUGCAUUCCUGGAGCAGGAGCUGCAGGAAUGCACUCACCGGCUGAGCCGCCCUCAUUUAUUGGAGCAUAGCACCAUCCUGACCUGCCCCGGCUGACAGGCCAACCAAAGACUGAGCAAAUCCCUGCUCUGGACUCUGAGGGCUGCAGUGCCCCUCAGUAAAUACACUGAAAGGUGCAGGGUGGGGUGCGUGUGCUCAGCCUUGUAACGCUUCCCCAGCACUCGGGACAGGGCCCAGAUGUUAAGGAAUGUGUUGUGAAUCAGGCUGUGACCAAACUGUGUUAGAAACCAGAAAAUAAUGCCCUCCCUUUCUAACAGCUCCCUUGCAAGAACUCUGCUUAGCAACAGGGACAGCUUGCCCCCCCCCCUCCCAACAUGGCACACUCCUUACAGUGAGCUGCAGCCCCUCCAGGGAGCAACGUGUCACCUGUUACAGCCACCGCAGCCCAAGCUGACAGCAUUGGAUUCACAGAGUGGGGCUGGGGAGCAGCAGUAAAUCACUCAGGAGGCCUUCAUUGCCUGCCGAGCUUCUAAGUGAUGGAUAGCACUGAGGCACAAGGGGAAAACAAUUCCCUCUGUCAAACCAACCCCUCUAUCUGGCCUCUCUGAGCCUUGCUGUGCCCUGAGGAGGCUGAGGGAAGAAGCAUCCCCAGGCAGGGCUGUUUUGUGUUCCCUUUGCAGAAAAAUCAGCAGCUGAAGUGUGAACUGUGUUGGCCACGACCAGAAGCAGACCAAGCUGAGGCCCCUGAGAGCUUUAGGAAACAAACCCUUUGGUGGGACAGAAGUAUCACGGAAUGGAAGUACCGACUUUGGAAUAGAAGUGUGUAUUUUCAGCUUUCAUAAACAAAGCAAGGAAGAAUCUGUGACUUCGCUCAGAUCGGGGCUUGUUCCGACUUUCUUUUGUAAGGGUCGUGCACACGUUUUCUGCUGCUCCGUUUUAUCUGUGAGCUAACAUCUGCGGGAUGUUUUAGUGCUGGGCCCACAGGAGCCCUCACCUCAGGGGAAGCAGCCUUCUUGCUGAGCUGCUGCACUGACACCGCUGACCUUCAUAGCCAUGCAAAGUACAUUUCCUUCCUAUGCCAAAGGAUAAAAUCAGCUGUGGGAAGAACAAUGCAUGCACAGACAACGUGGAAAACCCUGCUGAAGACCUUCAGACACCGAACCAUGAAGCUGCACUUGGCCUCGCUCCAGGCUCUGUACGCAUGAGCAUACGCUGUGGUUAUGAGCUCCUGCAGACAGGAAUCACAGCCAAGCAACUUACAGGCAAAUGUUUUAGGGCCUGAUGUGCCACGGUUUAGGUGAGUGUAAAGCAGCAAAGUACCUCUGAAGUUCUGUGCUCCUGUUUAUUCUCAGUGGGUUUUAGGCUAGGGGUACUCCCAAGUGAACAUACGAUUAACUUGAACUUGCUGUCAGCAUGGAGGUGUAACGCUACACUGCCUCACACACCCUGAUGCUGCAAUUAGAUACCAGCCCAAUUCGUCAUAGUUCCUGUGAGCUUUACAGCUCAUGCCUAUUAAGGAAUGAAGGGGUUCACAACUGAUGUGAUAGUAUGAGGCCAAAAUGUAUGUGCUUACUUGAAUCGACUUAUUAUAAAUACAGUCCUUGGAAGAAAAGCCAGUGCUCAUCUAUUCCGCGUUGGUUCCAAUGGGCAAGGCUUAUGGAUUGCAGUGUAUUUGUUCAUGCCAUAUAAUGCUGACCACUUGCAGCACAGCCACCCUCUGCCUGAAAGAGCAGCAUGAAUGCAGGCAGCUUUGUCAGGAGGAUGCCAUGGGAGAAUGGCUCAGGCAUGGCGGGGUCUUUCUGUGCAGCAGACGAUUUGCUUCCCUCUCCUUGCAGUGGUGUAGCCAGCUUUAUCCCUCAUGAAGGAUGAGGUUGUUGGCUUACAAGUGUUGGGUCUGUGGCUCCCUACAGUGGAGGACUUUGGGUCAGGUGUGUUGUGCUGGAAGGACAACACCGAGGGCUGCUGGGCAAGUAUGCCUUGAGCCUUGAUAGUGAUAGAAGAAGCACUGUCCAUUCCAACACAGCAGUUUGCCCUUUUCUGGAGAGAAAGAGAAAACAGAUAAUUUUUUCCCCUCUUCUUUUUCCUGUGGAAAGCCUUAGGCUCCUCCAGGGGGUGAGUAGUGGAGGAAGGGGGUGGAUGGAAAGAGCUGGUGGCAGCAGAGGAGGAGAGGCCAGGAGACCGUGGGGCAGGAAGGCUGCUGCCGGGAACUUUGUCAGCGCGAAAAGGCCAAACCUCAUCCUCCACCUUCUGAAAACUGCCGGAAUGCAGCUUUUUGGAGACGUUGUUCCCCCUCACAGCUGCCCCAGGGGGCCCUGCAUUCCUCUGGGAGGCCUGCCCUGUCUGCCUCCUCUUUCUUCCCUCCAUAUUUAACCCCCAAAGAUCUUAGGCCAAGAAGGGCUUAUGCCACCCCCAGCACCCCAUGGGCUGGUGCAGGGCCCUUCAUGCUGAGCUGCUGCUGUGGGGUGAGCAGUGCUUCUCCACAGACACAGCAGGGCAGGUGAAAUUUUGGGCUGUUGAAGAAGUGUCCUGCCUGAGCAGCCACUGUCUGGAGCCGUGUCCUGCUAUGCCAUGUGUAGCCCAGCUGCUGGACAAGGAAAAUGCCUGUGUGUCUGUUUUCACGUGGAACAAAAAGGGAGAAAUCACAUCACAGGGACAAAGCUGUCCCCUGCCCCAGCACAGCACAGGGGGAGGAUGAGGAGGCUGCGGCCCAUCUGAGUGUGUGCAUCCUGUCCUCAGAACAAGGGCAUGUACAGGGCCUGACUGAUUUUUUGCUUCCAUUACACUACAACUGCCUGUUACAGGGCAUGCUCUCUGCAGUAAAUUACACUAAGAGCCAUUUAAUUAACGCUAAUGGCACAGAAGAGCCAGUGGCAGCCUAGGGACAGCUUUCUGGGGCUGUAAAGAUGCUUCAAGCAGCGAGAGUAGUGCUGGGAAAUCACCGAGAACCCAACAGGAGCCCAGGCAGAAGCAAAUGCCACGAGCAGAGGGUGUGCAGUGCAUGUGAUCCCCCUUUGCCCUCAGCCCACCAGGCCAAAUGCUUGCUUUUGGUGGCUUCAGAGUUACACCUGUAUACCAUGGGUGGCUUUGUUGGUUUUCUUCUUCCCUACAUCAAACAGUUUGGGGUGGGUUUUUUUUUUCUGUUUUCUACUAAAAAUAGCCUUCCAUCGGAACAAACACUCAUUUGGAGACGUUUCCAGCUCUGUUUCCCUGCUCUUUAUCAGCGCACUAACACAAACAGCAUGGUGACCUGCUCAACUAGCAUGCGUGCCCUUUAGUAAUCCCAGGCUGGAGGAGCACCGCACGCCGACGACAUCCUGCCAUCAUUAGUCAUCAGCUGAGCGUGGCUUUGCAGGGCUGAGUGGAUACAGCCAGUGCAUCCAGCCGCUCCUCUGUGCGUGUCCUAGAAGGAUCCCUCUGACUAACAGAUGGUUUUGGAUGCUCUUUCACAUGGGAAAAUUGGGAAGAACAUAUUUUUAUUGCACCCGCGCUAUUCCAUCCAGCCACGUGGAUCUCCAGGGAUGGAGACGUACUUAAGAAAAAUAUUCAUUUCUGAAAGCUUCUACCAUUUUUUUCACAGCACUUUCUUGGCUUAGCCAGCCUAGCAACGCAUGCCUGUAAUCUUAUUUUGCAGCAAUUAGUAAAAUUUGCUAAUUAUACCGCUGACUAUUUCAAACCAGUUGAUUUCCCUUUGUAGCAGCAAAUAAUUUCCUGUUACACCAGUUCUCUUUAAUUUUCUUCCGAAACAAAACCAGGCCAGCAGUGCCAGCAGUGUCAUGCUGCUGUUAUUAAAUCGCUCCCUUUUCUGCCCUGG